UGUCUUCCGGUUGACCUUUGUGUGUUCACGUGGGGGAUACGGAAAAAAAGACACAGAGGAGAAAAAAACGGACGAUGGGCUAGAGAAGAGCUGCAUUUGUGGGAGAGUCAUUGCCGACGUUUUUGGUUAUUGUGGUUUUCAUGUUGGACUGUGUAAAUCUUGCUACUGAAGAAAAAGCUCGGAGUUGACUUUACCAGAGUUGGGACAGUUUAUUAAUAACGUGUUUUUCCUGCUACCGAGAGCGUGGAGUUAGCCACGUUAGCUCAUUACAGCUGCCGCCGUCGAGGGAGAGCGGUCGGACAUCGCUUCACCUGCACAGACGAGAGGAGGAGACUGGUCGGGAGGAGCUGCAGCGGCCGUCGCGGACGUUUUGCUGAGGCUGGAGACCAUCUGCUUGCUGUCUGCUGCUGUUGGGAGUGUGCAUGCUGCUGCUAACCAUUGCGGGCUAAGCCAGGCCUGACGAGGAGGAUUUUCACGGAGGUGGUCAGAUGGUUGGAAAGCUUCAGAAACCCCCUACACCUGCAUCCUCCUGACAUCAGCCGCUGCUUUUCCAAUGACUGCGUGGUGCGGGAAAUGCUUUUUGAGACACUCUGCAGUUUUCAUCACCAUCCAUCACCAUGUUUUUUCUGUACCUACUGCACAGCUGAGACAGAGACAUAAAGAUGGAGAACUGCUCUGUGUU